AUCCUGUCCUUGGUACACGACUCUAAGGUUGCCGGUCAUCCCGGUCUCCAUAAGACUGAAUCUUUACUCGAAAAACAAUUCUGGUGGCCCUCAUACAAGAAAGACAUUCGAGAAUUUGUUUUAGCCUGUAACAUCUGUUCCUCUAAUAAAUCUCCUAAGAGUCGUCCUUUAGUUCUCCUCAUGCCGUUGCCUAUUCCCGAUAAACCCUGGUCGAGUAUCGCCAUGGAUUUUGUAGUGGACCUAC